rnacentral:rRNA from 1 species
CCCUUAGAUGUUCUGGGCCGCACGCGCGCUACACUGAUGCAUUCAACGAGUCUAAAACCUGCUCUGAUAGGGGUGGGUAAUCUUCUGAAUGUGCAUCGUGAUUGGGAUAGAUGAUUGCAAUUUUUCAUCUUCAACGAGGAAUGCCUAGUAAACGCAAGUCAUCAGCUUGCAUUGAUUACGUCCCUGCCCUUUGUACACACCGCCCGUCGCUCCUACCGAUUGAAUGAUCCGAUGAAUAUCAUGGAUUGAGGAUGCAAGCAGGUUCGCCUGUCUUCAUCUUCGAGAAGUGAAGUAAAUCUUAUCAUUUAGAGGAAGGAGAAGUCGUAACA